AAAAAGAUAAAAAAAGAAAAAAAAAUCGUGAAAGCCAAGGCCCAUUUCACAAACCCUACCAAUUCUCUUCUCUAUCUCAUUCUACCAGCAGCAGCCACAUAAACCCAAGGCUCAUCUCUCAUUUUUUUUUGGAGUUCAUCUAUCACCGAGCCGUUGGCAGAAGUCUGGCGGGGCUCGAUCGGCGCAGCUGCAGAGGGACAGGACUUAGGGACUCGGGGUUCUACUCGGGGUUACCUCUGCUAGCUUCCUCCUGACGCCGAGGUUUUUGCUGCUGCUACCGACUGCUUGCUUCCUGAGGGAACUCAAAUAGCAGAAUGAAGGUUUGGCUCUAAGGAAGGACAUUGGAAUUCUCUGUAUGAUAAGUUGAUAUAUUAUAAGAACUACCUGAAACGCUUGGCAAAAGAGUUUCUGGACUAUGCAGGUACACAUGCCCAUAGCAGGUCCACACUGGAGGUUCUAGUCUUUUGGUUCAUUCAUGGUGAGCCAUUGUUUGUUGACAAACAUUAUCAGGCUAAGGAACUUUUAGACAUGAUUAUUGUUGCUCAGUUAGAGACCUCAACCAGGGAAAGCCAUCUCCAGUGCAAUGGACGUUCACUUUUGUUGGAUCUUAGAUUUCCACUUUUUCUGGAGAAUUUCAUUAUGGGAAUGCCUUAAGACUGUUACAUACCUUGGAAGAGGCAUCCAAAGUGUUAGUUAUCAGUAGUUGUGAUUGUUCAUGAAUAAAGUAAAUAUAAAACUUAACUUUCAGAAAUCUCUAGAGAGAGGGAGAUUUAUAUUUAACUAUUAUGGUUGGUUGGGCUAUUUGCAUGCAGAUUCUAUAGUUAAGUAAAUGCAAUUGUAGCCCUUCUCCACCCAAUUCACUGUACAAGAGAGAGAAAAGUGGAUGUGGUGUUUGAUAUGACUACAUUUCCUGAUUUUCUAGUUGGGUUGGGAGUUCUGUAUAUUGUGUUAAGGCCAAGACAACUGAAGCCAAAUGUCAAUUAAUUUUUGUAGUGAUUUGGAGAAGAGAAUUAUGUUGUCUUGUUGAAAUUUGUUGUAUUAUAUAUUUUGAAGUUUAUGGAUUUAUAAUUUUAUAAUGAAUUUUUAUUGAGAAUUA